rnacentral:rRNA from 1 species
GCGAGCGGACGAGUCAAACCCUUGCUUUUGAAUCGUUAGCGGCGGACGGGUGAGUAACACGUGGGCGACCUGCCCUGUAGACGGGGAUAACACCGAGAAAUCGGUGCUAAUACCGGAUAACACGAAAGACCGCAUGGGUUUUCGUUGAAAGGCGGCGCAAGCUGUCGCUACAGGAUGGGCCCGCGGCGCAUUAGCUAGUUGGUGAGGUAACGGCUCACCAAGGCGACGAUGCGGAGCCGACCUGAGAGGGUGAUCGGCCACACUGGGACUGAGACACGGCCCACACUCCUACGGGAGGCAGCAGUAGGGAAUCUUCCGCAAUGGACGAGAGUCUGACGGAGCAACGCCGCGUGAGCGAAGAAGGCCUUCGGGUCGUAAAGCUCUGUUGUUAGGGAAAAACAAGUACCGCACUCACUGGUGGUACCUUGACGGUACCUAACAAGAAAGCCACGGUUAACUACGUGCCAGCAGCCGCGAUAAUACAUAGGUGGUAAGCGUUGUCCGGAAUUAUUGGGCGGAAAGCGCGCGCGUGCGGUUCCUUAAGUCUGAUGUGAAAGCCCACGGCUCAACCGUGGAGGGUCAUUGGAAACUGGUAGAGUUGAGUGCACAAGACGAGAGCGGAAAUCCACGUGUAGCGUUGAAAUGCGUAGAGAUGUGGAG